UACGGGGGGGGCAAGCGUUGUUCGGAAUUACUGGGCGUAAAGGCUCGUAGGCGGCCAACUAAGUCGGACGUGAAAUCCCUCGGCUUAACCGGGGAACUGCGUCCGAUACUGGAUGGCUUGAGUUUGGGAGAGGGAUGCGGAAUUCCAGGUGUAGCGGUGAAAUGCGUAGAUAUCUGGAGGAACACCGGUGGCGAAGGCGGCAUCCUGGACCAACACUGACGCUGAUGAGCGAAAGCCAGGGGAGCAAACAGG
rnacentral:rRNA from 1 species